UACGGAGGAUGCAAGCGUUAUCCGGAAUUAUUGGGCGUAAAGCGUCUGUAGGUGGAUGUUCAAGUCUGCUGUCAAAGACCGGGGCUUAACCCUGGAAAGGCAGUGGAAACUGAAUGGCUAGAGUACGGUAGGGGUAGAGGGAAUUCCCGGUGUAGCGGUGAAAUGCGUAGAGAUCGGGAAGAACACCAGUGGCGAAAGCGCUCUGCUAGGCCUGUACUGACACUGAGGGACGAAAGCUAGGGGAGCGAAUGGG
rnacentral:rRNA from 1 species